rnacentral:tRNA from 1 species
GCGGACGUGGCGGAAUGGCAGACGCGCCAGACUUAGGAUCUGGUGACUUCGGUCGUAAGAGUUCAAGUCUCUUCGUCCGCACCA